rnacentral:miRNA from 1 species
UGACCUUUGCCUCUCCCCUCAG